rnacentral:rRNA from 1 species
CUACGGGUUGCAGCAGUGAGGAAUAUUGCACAAUGGGGGGAACCCUGAUGCAGCAACGCCGCGUGGAGGAUGACGCCUUUCGGUGUGUAAACUCCUUUUAUAUGUCAAGAAAAUGACGGUAGCAUAUGAAUAAGCACCGGCUAACUCCGUGCCAGCAGCCGCGGUAAUACGGAGGGUGCAAGCGUUACUCGGAAUCACUGGGCGUAAAGGACGCGUAGGCGGGUUGGAAAGUCAGGUGUGAAAUCCUACAGCUUAACUGUAGAACUGCACUUGAAACUUCUAAUCUAGAGUAUGGGAGGGGGAGAUGGAAUUAGUGGUGUAGGGGUAAAAUCCGUAGAUAUCACUAGGAAUACCUAAAGCGAAGGCGAUCUCCUGGAACGAUACUGACGCUAAGGCGUGAAAGCGUGGGGAGCAAACAGGAUUAGAUACCCUAGUAGUC